CGUAGGCGGUCUGCUAAGUUGGAUGUGAAAACUCUGGGCUUAACCCAGAGCCUGCAUUCAAUACUGACAGGCUAGAGUUCUGGAGGGGAUAGCGGAAUUCCUGGUGUAGCGGUGAAAUGCGUAGAUAUCAGGAGGAACACCGGUGGCGAAGGCGGCUAUCUGGACAGAGUCUGACGCUGAGGCGCGAAAGCUAGGGAGCAAACA
rnacentral:rRNA from 1 species